AGCCACGGCUAACUACGUGCCAGCAGCCGCGGUAAUACGUAGCGUGGCAAGCGUAGUCCGGAAUUAUUGGGCGUAACAGCGCGCGCAGGCGGUCCUUUAAGUCAGAUGUGAAAGCACCACGGCUCAACCGUGGAAGGUCAUUGGACACUGGGGGACUUGAGUGCAGAAGNAGGUCAGUGGAAUNGCCAAGUGUAGCGGUGAAACUGCGUAGAGAUGUGGAGGAACACCAGUGGCGANUGCGACUANCUGGUCUGUAACUGACGCUGAGGCGCGAAAGGNUGGGGAGCAAACAGGAUUAGAUACCCUGGUAGUCCCACG
rnacentral:rRNA from 1 species